rnacentral:rRNA from 1 species
AGUAACACGUGGAUAACCUACCUAUAAGACUGGGAUAACUUCGGGAAACCGGAGCUAAUACCGGAUAAUAUUUUGAACCGCAUGGUUCAAAAGUGAAAGACGGUCUUGCUGUCACUUAUAGAUGGAUCCGCGCUGCAUUAGCUAGUUGGUAAGGUAACGGCUUACCAAGGCAGCGAUGCAUAGCCGACCUGAGAGGGUGAUCGGCCACACUGGAACUGAGACACGGUCCAG